rnacentral:lncRNA from 1 species
CCAGCAGCCCUUUUAUUUUUCCAGACCAAAGGCUGUGAACCCGCCUGGGGAUGAGGCCUGGUCUUGUGGAACUCAACUUAGCUCGCCGGGGCUGACCACUCUGGCCCAGGGUGGUAUGUAAU